rnacentral:miRNA from 1 species
UAAUACUGCCUGGUAAUGAUGCA